UGGGGAAUAUUGGGCAAUGGGGGAAACCCUGACCCAGCAACGCCGCGUGAGGGAAGAAGGUUUUCGGAUUGUAAACCUCUGUUCUUGGUGAAGAGAAGAAGACGGUAGCCAAGGAGGAAGCCCCGGCUAACUACGUGCCAGCAGCCGCGGUAAUACGUAGGGGGCGAGCGUUGUCCGGAAUGAUUGGGCGUAAAGGGUGCGUAGGCGGCGAUACAAGUCAGAAGUGGAAGUCCUGUUUUCAAGGCAGGAAUUGCUUUUGAAACUGUAUGGCUUGAGUGCAGGAGAGGUUAUCGGAAUUCCCGGUGUAGCGGUGAAAUGCGUAGAGAUCGGGAGGAACACCAGUGGCGAAGGCGGGUAACUGGACUGCAACUGACGCUGAGGCACGAAAGUGUGGGGAGCAAACAG
rnacentral:rRNA from 1 species